UAGGGAAUUUUCCACAAUGGGCGAAAGCCUGAUGGAGCAACGCCGCGUGCAGGAGGAAGGCCUUCGGGUCGUAAACUGCUUUUAUAUGUGACGAUUUUGACGGUAGCAUAUGAAUAAGGAUCGGCUAACUCCGUGCCAGCAGCCGCGGUCAUACGGAGGAUCCAAGCGUUAUCCGGAAUUACUGGGCGUAAAGAGUUGCGUAGGUGGCAGAGUAAGCGAAGCAUGAAAUCUUAAGGCUCAACCUUAAGUCUAUGCUUUGAACUACUCAGCUUGAGAAUGAGAGAGGUAGAUGGAAUUGCUAGUGUAGGAGUGAAAUCCGUAGAUAUUAGCAGGAACACCGAUGGCGUAGGCAGUCUACUGGCUCAUUUCUGACACUAAGGCACGAAAGCGUGGGGAGCGAACGGGAUUAGAUACCCCCGUAGUCC
rnacentral:rRNA from 1 species